UGACUCUGUAUAACUUUGGNCUGAUCGCACGGGCUUGUCCCGGCGACGCAUCUUUCAAGUGUNNNCCUUAUCAACUGUCGAUGGUAGGUUAUGCGCCUANCAUGGUCGUAACGGGUAA
rnacentral:rRNA from 1 species